rnacentral:lncRNA from 1 species
CUUUUUCUGCGCACAGUAUAUAUGUACUUUAUAAAAGCUUGUUUACUUAGUUGAUCCGUUAAAUUUAUUCAGAGAUAAGGUUGAGUUACUUGGUUGUUCUGUUUUUAUUACAAUUCAGACAAUAAGCUCGUACAUUUGGACUAUUUCUAGGAUAUAAAUUGUAGAAUUAUUUAUCUUGCCAUUGAUGUGCCUUGCGUUGCUUUAGGGAAUUGAGCUUAUGCUGUUUUUUAGUUAACAUUCUACCAAACUUUGGUUACUGUCUCUUCAACACAUCCAUAUUAAUUAUAUGAAGUUACGUAUAGCAAAAAGUGUUCAAUAAUUCAUUGUCUUGUAGAGAAUCCAUGGGUGGAGGCACGUUGUGGGCUUGCUACUGCUGUCAGCUUCCACCUAUGUAAUGUGCUACAACUUUGCAUCAUUACUACUUUCUGCACACCGGCUGAUUCAUCACAAGUAUGUUUCCUCCCUGUAGUUGGAUAAAAGGUGUAUUCUUUCUAUUUGUUGUUACCAUAUAGUAUUAGCAAGUUAAAUUAAUGAUAUGUGUUUUUAAGACAAAAGAAAAAGGCUUGCAUGUAUUAACUGAAUUUGGUCCAUAUGUGUUAAUUGAUAUGCAAUAGAGUUUUCACAUGUGUUGUAGGUGAUGCAUAUAACACUGGAGCUUUUCUCAUUGUUCUCUUCAACUGAAAAGGCUAGACAGAAGAGCUGUUACCAAGAACAUAAAACUCACUAAAGUGCAUGUCUGAAUUUAAUAGACCUUCCAUAGUAACCAUGAAUGUAAUUAGAAAAUGCAUGCAGGAUCAAAUAUGCAAAUUGUACAUUGAUGACCUAUGGAAAAUAUCUGAACUCGAAUGGAUGAACUUAUGAUUUAGAACAACUCUUACUAACCUUUCAAAUUUCAGAAUUUACGGGAAUCACUUGUCGAAUAUGUCAUCUUCUAGAAAAAUACUCUGCAGACGACACAAUAGCUACUGUUACUUUAGGACUACAAAAUAAUCUAUUAGACUCAUUUUGCAGCGAUAAGAAAUUGCGCAGCUAGAAUUUAUAUGUUUUUAAUUUUAAUGAAGGAUCUGGUUUUGUUAUUUUGCUUUACUCAUACGGACUUGCAUUUUUCUUUUUCUUUUUUAACAUUGUAUGGAAGUUUAUAAUAAUGGUUAAUUUGAACACCUUAGUAUGCAUUUUUUUUUUUGCUUCAAACGGUUCUUCGUGUUUCAGUUAUCUUCAUAUGUUAUUUUAGUUUGUACAACUUCUUUUUUGCGUAUGCCCACCAUUUUCGUUUUUUUGUAGGCUUUCAUGCAUGUUUUAAUCCAUCAGGGAAUACUGAAUUUAGUACUGGAGUAGUUUAUUUUGUGAGAAAAUUCUGUAGCUAAUUUCCGGCAAAAUAUUCUUUACGUAAUGACCCAAUUGUGUGAGAAAUGAAAUAGAGAUAUGAGUCUAGGAGUAAAAAACAGAAAUAGAAAAAACUUAUAUUCGUUUUCAUUCCACGUAAGUCACAACAGGCUGACCAUGGGUCAACGUGGUGCUACCCAUUCCAUUAUGUGUAGAUAGAAAGUAUCCCUUCCUCACUAAUCUCUUCCACUCCUCUCCUCUCCUCCACUGGCUGCCCGACCAUUAUGUGUGGAAAGCAAGUCCCUUCCACUCCUCUCCUCCACUGGCUGUCCGACUUUGAGGACUUUGAGAUGGGAAUACAGAUGGAGAGGGUGUGCCAAAUUGAUGGCCUGCUCGUCCAGAAGGGGAGUGGCUGCACCAAAUUGAGUGGCCUGCCUGUGUAUCACCAAAGCUGGGAAGGAGAUUUUCCGCCAGAUCUGGCCGAGGCUGCGGCACGCGUUCCAGCCACGGGCUCUGCGAGGCCGUGAGGCAAAGCGGUCGCCGGGGAGGCCACUGGCGAAUAUGAGAGACCCAUAGUUUUUAGCUUCCUUGAGUGUCCCUGCUCUCCUAUUCGUGUCAGUGGGCCAAAAGCUGUGCCGUCAGGUUCGACGGCCAUGUUCUCCGCAGCAUUCCUGGCCGUAUGUGGUAGAGGAGUGGGAUGGGUAUGACUGUCUUACUACUCUCCCAUCAUCCGCUGCAUUCCUCUCUUGAUGGGCACAGUAUAUACGUACUUUUAAAGUUCACUUAAUUACUUAGUUGAUCUGUUAAAUCUAUUUAGAUGUAAGGUAGAGUUACCUAGUUUUAUUAAAUUAUAAUUCAUACGCUGACCUGAUACAUUCUGUUGUUGUUCAUGUAAGGAUCUUUUAUAAAUUAUAGUUAUUUAAUUUGCCAUUGAUUUGUGUUGUGGUUUUUAGGGAAUUGAAGCCCAACUUUGACUAUUGUCUCUUCAACACAUCGGUAUCAAUUAUAUGGAAUUUCGUAUAGCAAAAGAUAUAUCUAUGAUAUCCAUCUACUACAUAUAACAUCUAUAUAUUUUUAUAUUUCAUUGUCUUGUCUGCACAUGUUAACAUGUAUAUACAAUAAAUGCAGUGUCAGGAAAUAGUAAUUUGCAUUGGCUUGUGAUUGGUUGAUUUACCUUUGUGGAGAGUCCACAGGUGGAGGCGAGUUGAGGGCUUCCUAAUUGCUACUGCUGUCAGGUUCCACCUAUGUAAUGUGCUACAACUUUGCAUCAUUCUUACUUCCUCCACACCGGCUGUUUCUUCACAGUAAGGCAAAGGAAGAAGGCUUACAUGUAUUAACUGAAUUUGGUUCAUAUGUGUUAAUUGAUAUACAAUAGAUUUUUCACAUGCCAUGAACAUAUAACUCAUGGAAGUGCAUGUCGGAAUGUAUUCCAAAUAAUUAUAAUGUGACAUACUUCUGAUGGUGCCAACAUUUAACCAUUAUCUAAUAAUUGUCCUCCUUAUAUUGAUUCGAUGUCAAGGUUUCUUUCUUUAUCUCAGUACUCAUAAAUGGUUCGGCUUACUUUCAACACAAUUAUUGUAUACUAUUUGACACUUCUCAGAUUUCCCAUCUAGUGAGUUGACCAAUUUUGCUACCAUUGUUAUUACUGCAGAGUAAGUAUAAUAUGGAAGUUCUUGUUCAAAUUAGUAGAAUAUAUGCUUACCGGGUGUUCGAAUUUGUAGAUAUAUACCACAAUUGUCACUACAGAUUAAAUAUAAUAUGAAAGUUCUUGUCAGUUUUCUUUGUAGUUAGUUUGCGAAUCACAACAUGAUCAUUUGAAUAUUUUGUUGUAACAAAUCUAUCAUAGCUAUUGUUGUGAAAGAAAAAUCCUUAAAAAAUCACCCAAUAGCAACCCGAAGAAGUUAAGAGAUAUAAAUAAUUCAGAUAUGGUUCCAUUAUGCUCCCUCUGUUCAAUAAUAUAUGACGUUUUUUGACAGUACACAGUGCCAAAAACGUCUUAUAUUAUGGGAUAGAGGGAAGUUUGUGAUUUUUUUUUCUUAUUCUUGAUUCCACAUGCUUCAUUUGGGUGAAUAAUCCAUUGACAUCCAAAUUUGGAGAUAUUAAUUCACCUAUGUAAUGUGCAUAAUCUAUGACACAUUUUUGCUAUGAUGAAUAUGUAAAUAAAUUCUGUACAGUUCCAUAAAUACACAGUGAUGCAUUUUUGUUGUAAAGAUAAUGUAAAUAACUUUUUAUAGCUUUGCAAAUAAGAUUAACCUUGAUGUAUAAAUCCGAUCAGAGUAUAGGUAGCUAUGCAAUGGUCAUGCGUCACAUCAUUAGUCUAAGGCUCUAACCACAUCCAUGGAGAAUCUAACAUCUCAACCACGCAUAUCUGUUUGUUCCAGAAGCUAUGAAAUUGAGGUAUGCAGAAGAUGAAGAAACCUGAGAACUAAUGAUCCAAAGAAGAGUCGGAGCUCGAGCAUCACAUAGCCGUCAACUAUGGUGGCUUGUGGGCAGAUGUGUCUCAGACCGAAGUUGUUGCCGCUGGACCGUGGUUACAUGCAUCCUAGCUCUUGGAGGCAGCGGUGCGGGGAGAUAUGCAUGUGCAAGGAAAAGAAGUGGGCGAAGGCCGAAGAAGCAAUCUAUGCCUCCCUAGCGCUGGGUCCUGCUCCUCAAUAGGUCACCUUAGUCAUGGCUGCCUUAUCCCUCAUGCUGCUGAUUUGAACCUGCCCUACUCUCCUAGGCUGCUCGAGGGCUUCAGCGCGUGCCUUGCCGACAACAGGGAAGGAAGAAUCAGAAGUGACGGCUAGAGCGCUAGGAAAUUGAAAACCAUAGCAAUUGGUCUUCUCUAUAAAACGUGUGUGCAAGGGACGUGGAACCUGCUUCAGGGAAGAAGAGAUGGAUCACUUGAGAGAAGAGACCAGCUUUGAUCCUUUAUCGGUCAGACAAUUUUUUUUUGUUUUUUUUGCUAAUUGCCUAGUCCAUAUUGUCCAUGUAUUGGAAGCAUGUAAACGUGUGGCUCCUGGAGUUUGUAGGGAAACCUGCUAUAUUGCUUUUGGAUAUGUGUAAGGGCUUUGAUUUUUAUUUUCCCUUUUUUGCUUUCCAAUUCGGACAUGCAUCAGUUCAUACGUGAUUGUAUAUUGGACUCAAACAAUACGUGUCCAUGUAGUCCUUCCUGUGCGCGCUAGUGUUAUGGUUCUAUGCAUCUAAUAUGACAUCAUAAAAGUUCAAUACUGCUGGUAAAUAUAUUUUUACAUGUUACGUAGAAACUUUAAAUCUCGACCGUUGUUAUUCUAAUCAAACGGUGUAAAAAAGAUUAGCAUAUGUGGAC